UCCAGCCAGCUUAUAUAAUUACCAGAACAUAGGCUAUCUGACAAUGUUUUGAGUAGCCAACUUUUUAUUCACCAUAACAGGAAAAUAAAAGGUAAUUAUUUACAAGUAGGCUAUGGCAAGCUGCUAACUUACUGUUGUGAAUGUGAAGAAAGGAAAGUAGUGGAAGGUCUGAAUUUAAAAGGAGUAAUUUAGAACAUGCAGCUGUCAAGUUACCAUGACAACGGUCGAAACAACAGGGUCCUUUUAAAAUUGAAUGUCUCUUCCUCCUUCCUGGCAAAAACUAUGGCUAUAUAAAAGGCAAAUGCCGACAAGAAAGAGAUAAAAAAAAUAGGGCUGUUUGAUAGAAACAUUGCCCAAUUGUUUUUACAGGCAACAUAUAGUGAAAGCAGUAUGAGUGACUCACAAGGCUCCGGUCUCUUGUAGACAAACACCAGGUGACUGGGGACGAACAGUAAGAUUCAUAAUGAAAAAUGCGACAGACACUGCAAAAGCCUGUGGAACCGUUUCCAUAACUACUAUACCAUUGGCACAUCCCCCUACUGCAGGCAAUGGAAGGAAGACUACUACACAUGUCCAGAGUGGGAAAAUAACUCAAGUCCAGAGACCAAGGAGUAAUUACAGCAUAGUGAGAGGAACCGGAUGGCAGAGCAGAGAAAGUUCACCCCUGUGUGGGACCUGAGACGAGAUCCACCCAGAGACUGGCACAUGCCACUGCACCAGGGGAAGCCCCAGGACUCCCAGUCCUAAUCAUCCCCAGAAUGAACACUGCCAUGGCCCUAAACAUGGCCAAACCAACCUCAAUGUAGCAUCUAAGAUCUGUUUAGCUACGUAAACUAAAUCACAGUAGAGUUGUGGCUAGUAAGCCAUGGCCCUGGGGCUUAUUCAGACUAAUCUAUUGACAUUGCAGCUAGAAUUUUUAUGUAUAUAGCUGGUAAAAGUCGUAAUUGUUCAUGACAAUGUCUGUUCUACACAAUUUAUUACAUCUGAAUGUUCUGUAACUUUGCUGAAUAUGCCCCCUGCAGAGGGUGUGAAGGCUUUUUGUUUUAAACACUAUUGGUUCAGUUGGCUGGGGAAAAGCCUGCUCUCCAGGACCACUCUGUCAUAAAUGGUUUCUUUCCA